CCCUAUGGGGUGCCCCCGCCAUGCGAGCCAGCUCUACAAGGCGUUUAUUGUAGAAGGCCACCACAUAUCCUCCUGCCGGCGCCAAAAUUUCCUCGCAGUUCUCGCCGAUGACGAUAUCCUCGCUCUUCACAUUGGGAUUGCCUCCCUGGGCAGCGAUGAUUUCCAUCAGCUUGGCAUGAGCCUUUCCACUGCUGAGGAUCUCUUCUGCAGCAGCGUAGCCUUCUCCUCGUCCUGCCACUCCGCCCAUCUCCAGCAGUAUGCCAGCUAACGAGAGGCUCUUCUCCCUCAGGCUAUUUGGACCCGGCUUAUUCUCCAGAAGGGUAAGCGCCUCACGCACCUCCAGAGCCGGUCCUAUGGUUCUGCCCACGGGAGAGC
rnacentral:rRNA from 1 species